UACGUAGGGCGCAAGCGUUGUCCGGAAUUAUUGGGCGUAAAGAGCUCGUAGGCGGUUUGUCGCGUCUGCUGUGAAAACCUAAGGCUCAACCUUGGGCUUGCAGUGGGUACGGGCAGACUAGAGUGCGGUAGGGGUGACUGGAAUUCCUGGUGUAGCGGUGAAAUGCGCAGAUAUCAGGAGGAACACCAGCGGCGAAGGCGGCGCUCUGGGCCGGUACUGACACUGAGGAGCGAAAGCGUGGGUAGCAAACAGG
rnacentral:rRNA from 1 species